rnacentral:lncRNA from 1 species
CAGAAAGAGAGAAUGGCCUCCAAACCUCUAUUGGUGCCAUAGAAAUAGAUAGAAAGUUAAAAGGGAAGGAAGGUCAAUUAAAUGAUUGAGGUAGCUCUUGCACAAAGUGGGAAAAUGUAGUUAGGGGUAUUGAGAGGGACAUUGAUUGCACAGAGAAAAAAAUCUGGUUCUCCGGAGAUUUCAAGUUUUCACCUUUUCAGAUUAUACCUCAUUUUCUGAGAAUCAAAAAGCUCAUCAAGAGAUUGCAUCUCUCUGCUGCCCAUAAAGUGACACAUGACCCUAUAACCGGCUUCAGGAAAUGAGAGUGGAAACACAGCUUGAAGAGUUGGUCUGCCAUGUACCAUGCUGUCUCUCCCCUUGCCGCCAUGACAACUUGGCACUGUUCCAGUAAUGGCGGCUCCGCCAGCCUGGGUCCCAGAGUGUGGAAGGCAAGCAGCAGAGCCUUCAGGAGAUCUGUGCUAGGAUCAAUCCUUCAAGAUAAGAGAAUUUUAUCGUGGAAGCAGAGCGAGUGGCAUCUCCCCACUGCACCAGAAAGGCUUCUGGAGUUCACGCACUGCCCUUGGCUCCUCCAGUUGCUAUCAAGUUGAUUUACUUCUGCAUGGAGCAUCUUAGGACCUAAGAAUAGCAAUGAUGAAACCCAGAAAGAAAAGGCAGACUCACAGCAUGGAACACACUGUCUGGCUCAACUAAUAUUUGUUGCCUAAAGCAGGCACCAUGAGAAGGAAAAGUAAAUCGCUGCAGCCUGAGAAAAUGUGGUACCCUCAACUGGGUAAAACCAUCGUAGGCAACAUGGCUCAUGGUGCAAGGUUCUUAAAAAGAAGAAACAACAUUGCUUGCUUCAGCAGCACAUAUACUAAAAUUGGAACAAUACAGAGAAGGUUGGCAUGGCCCCUGAGCAAGGAUGACAUGCAAAUUCAUGAAACGUUACAUAGGUUUUUACUAUAGGUAACAAUACAUUAUAUAGUUUCAACUAGCUAGGGGGAGGAUAUUGAAUGUUUCCAAUCCAAAGAAAUGAUCAGUGUUUGAGAGGAUGGAUAUGCUCGCUCAUUACCCUGACCUGAUCACCAUACAUUAAAUGUAUCAAAACAUCACUGUCCACCCAUGAAUAUGUACAAUUAUUUUUUGUCAAUUUUAAAAAAUAAGACACAACAAACUAUAUGCAGCAUAAUCCACAGAAACAAUAAGAGCUCCAAGACUGAUAUGAAGGAAAGGAAGAGCUCCUUGUUUAUCUUGAAACAUAUGAAUUCUGCUGGACUCCUUCAUUUUGUAGUCAUUGUAAAACUCUUAUGCUUUCAGCACUUAAAAUUUUUCAAUAUCAGAAACACUUUGAACUACCUAACAGUUUCCUGUAUUUGGUUUUGUAUUCCAGAAAAGGGGUCUAAAAUACUUUAACAGAAAACAUUUCUACCAUAUGUUCUAAUAAUAAAUUCACUUCCUAGUUAUAUACAGCGAUCCAUUAAACUUUAAUAAUAAUAUUUUUGUUUCUAUUAAAGACUAAGAACUUUUCAUUACAUAGUGCCUUCUUUGUGUUCCAAAUACCAGUGGAUUCCAAUUUCAUUUUGACACCUGGCUACCUGGCUGAAAUAAAUGGCAUGCUUUGUGCUGUUUUAAAUUUUUCUUGCUCUGUGUGGCCAGGCUGUCACAUGCCUAUGGUGCCUCUCUGGGAGUGGUGAGAGAUUUGUAGUCCCAGAGCACACCGCUCUGUCCAGGUCAGCUAAGGGGUACCACUGGCGGUUGAUUUACCUUUGCUAAGUGCGUCUGAAUCUUAUUCUUAGCAUCUGCAGUCUCAGCAAUGCGAUUGGUGAAAGACAAGUUCACUUUGUUGAAUUGAUUCCACAUCUCAUUGGCAGUCACAACCAAGAGGUUUUCAAUGUCGUCUCUUAGCUUAGCGGAAGCUGCCCGUUCACUCUGGGAGCGGAGAAUAUUGUCAUCUGUAAAUUUGGCCCAGGACUCAGGCACUGAGACACUGAAAAAGAGAAGCAGAAGCAGACAACAGUGAGAGUGAUGAAUCAGCCUACAGGAUCGCUAGGCAAUCAUUUAUCCUGAGAGAGAGAAACCCCCAGGUCGCUGAUCCUAGCUUCAUUAUAUAAAUGUGAAUAUCAGAAUGAGGCUUAUUUUCAACUUUCCUUAAUUAUUCCUUAUUUUACUGCUAAUCAGUUUUCUAUUUAUCUAAAGCGUAAGCUGGUUCUUCUGCCAGUUUCAAGGGGCAAAAGGAUUAAUGAAUGAUGUGAACGUGUAGGUUCAUUAUAAAUGUGUCACACAUCACAUCAAUAAGCAUAUGACAAAAUACUCAGCCUCAAGGGUAAUCAAAGAAGCAUUAAUGAAAACAGCCUACUAAGGAAAUAUUAGCAGGAGUA